AAUAUGUCAAAACGACUUUUGGCAACGGAUAUCUCGGCUCUCGCAUCGAUGAAGAACGUAGCGAAAUGCGAUACUUGGUGUGAAUUGCAGAAUCCCGUGAACC
rnacentral:rRNA from 1 species